ensembl:lncRNA
CUCCAGGGAUGGGAUACCACAGCUCCGGGCAGCAGUGCCAGCACCUCCCCACUCAGAGUGAAGGAUUUCAUCCUAACAUCUCACCUCAGUCUCCCCUCUUGUAGUUUAAAGCCAUUCUGCCUCCUCCUAUCGCAAUCAGAUUGUGUAAAAAGUCCCUCCCAGAAGAGUACCAGCUGAGCACAGUAGUGGAGGUGCUUCACGAGAUGAAUGUGGUUUUUGUAUGAGAGGCUGUGUUGUGGUUUGUUUGGUUCUUACUUAGGAAAAAUUGUUUACUGAAUUACUUUCUGAAGUCUCAAGAAAGAUUGUAAUGUUUUGUUAUUUCAGAUACAACUUUUAGUUACCUUUUUGGGUACAGACUAGCGUAAUUACUGUGAGGAAAGAAAUGAAUGACCAAAGUGCUGAUAAACUAAGCCAAAUUCCUGCUAAUUAAACCUCAGAGAAGUGAGACGGUGAGGAAGGGCUAUAAUUAGGAGCCCAAGCCUGCCAUCUUUGCUGUCCUGCAUGGACCAAGUGGGGCAGAGAAUGUGAUAAAAUCUGCUUUGGUGAGGUGCCCUUUGGCAUUACAGAAUCAUGAAGGUUGAAAAAGACCUCUCAGAUCACCUAGUCCGACUGUCAACCCAAUCACCACCAUGCUCAACAACCACAUUGACAUGUAGACAUAAAGCAAAAUUGUUUAUGCAAACCACUGGUCUGACACCUGCAAGAUCAUAGCACUUAUGCAGAGACAAUGGGAACAUUGUAGUAAGAACCAGGAUGUGAACCAGUCUGCACCAGCACUGUGGUCUCAAAAACCACCGAGAGAGCCAAAGGUGAGAAGGACACCAGGAAACCUUCAUGAGGAAGACUUAGAGAAGACCUCUGCCCAGGACGACCAGAGAGCAGCACGCACGUGCACAGAGAUUGACAUGAGGGAUGGGGAAGAUGUGGCCGUACUUCAGUUGCAAUGGAAGAAGCUGAGGUAGCAGAAGCCAUCUGCCUGCAGAAACAUGGAGCUGGUUUAUCCUGCCAAAAAGAAGAGUCUUUCUAUGGUGUGGGUCUCAAACCUGUUAUUUCUAGCUUGUUUUCAGUGCUCAGACUGUCCUAGUUCACUUGCAUAACGUCAUAAAAGAAGGACACUGACUUGUGUUUUAAUACCAAAUGUAACAUUUCAUUCCAACAGGAAAAAAAAGAAAAACACCAGAAAACCAACCAAACAAGCCUCACCCCCACCCCAAAUCUUAUUUUACAAGAGUACGAGAAAAUAAAUGUUAGUG